CACGUAGGGCGCGAGCGUUGUCCGGAAUUAUUGGGCGUAAAGAGCUCGUAGGCGGCCCGCGAGGUGUCACGUGAAAGCCCCGGGCUCAACCCGGGAGGGUCGUGGCAAACCGGCGGGCUUGAGGCCGGUAGAGGUGGGUGGAACUCCUGGUGGAGUGGUGAAAUGCGUAGAGAUCAGGAAGAACACCCGUGGCGAAGGCGGCCCACUGGGCCGGUACUGACGCUGAGGCGCGAAGGCGUGGGGAGCGAACGGG
rnacentral:rRNA from 1 species